rnacentral:sRNA from 1 species
GAUCACCGCCGCCCCGGAGAGAGAGGGCACAGGCCAUGAUGGCCCCAAGCCAUGCUUCACACUGAGCUCCCUCAGCUCCGCUGCCGAGACUGGCCGGGACCCGCUGGACAGUGAGGAGGAGCAGCAGCGCCCAGGGUGAACUUGGCCUGAAGCCCGCUUCCCAGGACCAGUUUCCUUCCUUCUCACCCAGGGAUGCCUCGAGCAGCCACAGGAGCAGGAACGUCCUGACUGCCAUCCUGCUGCUGCUGCGGGAGCUGGACGCAGAGGGGCUGGAGGCCGUGCAGCAGACUGUGGGCAGCCGGCUGCAGGCCCUGCGUGGGGAGGAGGUGCAGGAGCACGCCGAGUGACCGCAGGACCUGAGCGCCGCUCCACCCUCCACGGGGACCCCAGCGUCUUCCCCAGCCCCCGGGAGCUGGAGGGUGGCUGCCACGGCCGCAGCCCCGGACCCACACAAAAGCCUCCCCGGUUUGCCACAUCGGCCGAGGGCAGGAGUGGGUGUUAGGUACUGGCUAACCGGGGUGGUGGAGAUGCCUGUCCACACCAGUCCUGUCCCCAGGACUCCCCUUCUGUGGUCUGGAGGUUCUGGGCUGGCCUGGGCUCCUAAAGGGAGGAUUUUGCAGGCUGUCCUCCCUAAUAAAAGAUUUUCCCAAGGUU